rnacentral:rRNA from 1 species
CAGGCCUAACACAUGCAAGUCGAACGCCCCGCAAGGGGAGUGGCAGACGGGUGAGUAACGCGUGGGAACAUACCCUUCGGUUCGGAAUAACUCAGGGAAACUUGAGCUAAUACCGGAUACGUCCGCGAGGAGAAAGAUUCAUCGCCGAAGGAUUGGCCCGCGUCCGAUUAGCUAGUUGGUGAGGUAAUGGCUCACCAAGGCGACGAUCGGUAGCUGGUCUGAGAGGAUGAUCAGCCACAUUGGGACUGAGACACGGCCCAAACUCCUACGGGAGGCAGCAGUGGGGAAUAUUGGACAAUGGGCGCAAGCCUGAUCCAGCCAUGCCGCGUGAGUGAUGACGGCCCUAGGGUUGUAAAGCUCUUUUACCUGGGAAGAUAAUGACGGUAUCAGGAGAAUAAGCCCCGGCUAACUUCGUGCCAGCAGCCGCGGUAAU